rnacentral:rRNA from 1 species
AGUGAACGCUGGCGGUAGGCCUAACACAUGCAAGUCGAACGGCAGCACAGUAAGAGCUUGCUCUUACGGGUGGCGAGUGGCGGACGGGUGAGGAAUACAUCGGAAUCUGCUUUUUCGUGGGGGAUAACGUAGGGAAACUUACGCUAAUACCGCAUACGACCUACGGGUGAAAGCAGGGGAUCUUCGGACCUUGCGCGAUUGAAUGAGCCGAUGUCGGAUUAGCUAGUUGGCGGGGUAAAGGCCCACCAAGGCGACGAUCCGUAGCUGGUCUGAGAGGAUGAUCAGCCACACUGGAACUGAGACACGGUCCAGACUCCUACGGGAGGCAGCAGUGGGGAAUAUUGGACAAUGGGCGCAAGCCUGACCCAGCCAUACCGCGUGGGUGAAGAAGGUCUUCGGGUUGUAAAGCCCUUUUGUUGGGAAAGAAAAGCAGCAGGUUAAUACCUCGCUGUUCUGACGGUACCCAAAGAAUAAGCACCGGCUAACCUCGUG